UUUAUUUGAAAUAAAAUAUAUUUUUUAUUUAUGUAUAAUUUAUUAUAAUUGGAUAAUAAGUAAAGUAAUAUUUAAUUUUAUUUUAAAAUGUUUUAGUAUUUUAAAUUUUAAAUUAAUAGUUUAUUUUUUAAAUGUAAAUGGAAUUAAUGAAAUAUUUUAAAUAUUUAAAAUUUUAUAAGUAAAAUUAAAUUUUUGUACCUUUUGUAUCAGGGUUUAUUAAAAAUAAAUUAAAUAUUUAAUUUUUCUCGAAUUAAUUAGAGUUAAUAUAUUAUAUAGGUUAAUGUUUAAUUAUUAUUUAAAAUAAUAUAUUAGAGGAGAAAUUCUAUUCAAUAAUUACGAUAUCUAGUUUUUUUAGAAAUAAAUUUAAUUUAACUAUUAAAUAUGUUUAUAAUUAAUUUUUUUUUUAAUUAUUAAAUUUAAUAGAAAAAAUUUAAGGGAUUAGCUUUAAAUUUAAGUUUUAAAAAUAAAAAAAAUUAAAUUUUAUGUGUAUAAAUUAUAGAUUUAAAAAUAGUUAUUAAUUAAAGUAUAUAAUAAUAUAUUUAUGCGUAUGUAUAAUGAUUUUUUUUUUGUUUUAAUUAAUGUAUAAAAAUAAUAUAAUUAAUUAUUAAUUAUAAAUAAUAAUGAUAAAAUUAUUAUAUAAAUAUUAAAUUUAUGUAUAAAAGUUAUAAAGAUUUAUAUAUAUAUAUAUAUUAUAUAUAUAUAUAUAUAUAUAUAUAUAUAUAUUUAAAAUAUAAUUAUAAGGAAUUAGACAAAAAUAAAUAUCUACCUGUUUAACAAAAACAUGUCUUUUUGAUUUUAAUUUAAAGUCUGAUCUGCCCAAUGAAAAAUUUUAUUUAAAUGGCCGCGGUAUUUUGACCGUGCAAAGGUAGCAUAAUCAUUAGUUUUUUAAUUGAAAGCUUGUAUGAACGAUUGAAUAAGAUAUUAAUUGUCUCAUAAUUAAUUAAAUUAAAAUUUAAUUUUUAAAUUAAAAAGUUUAAAUUUCAUUAAAGGACGAGAAGACCCUAUAGAUUUUAAUAAAAAAUUAAUUAUUUUUAAUUAAAUAUUAAUAUUAAAAAUAAUAUAUAUUUUAUUUUGUUGGGGUGACAUUAAAAUUUAAUAAACUUUUAAUUUAUUUUAUUCAUAAAUGAAUGUAUUAAUUAUAUAAUAAAUAUAUAUAUAUAUAUAUAUAUAUAUAUAUAUAUAUAUAUAUAAUUAUACUUAUUAAGCGCAAUAAAUUAAUAGGUAUGAAAUAAAAGAAAAAUAAUUUUUUGAUCCUGAAUUUUAGAUUAUAAAAAUAAAAUACCUUAGGGAUAACAGCGUAAUUUAUUUGGAGAGAUCAUAUUAAUAAAUAAGUUUGCGACCUCGAUGUUGAAUUAAGAUAAUACUUAGGUGGAGAUACUUAAGAUUUUAGGUCUGUUCGACCUUUAAAUUCUUACAUGAUUUGAGUUCAGAUCGGCGUGAGCCAGAUCGGAUUCUAUCCUUAAUAAAUUAAAAAUAUUUUUGUACGAAAGGACUUUAUAUUUUAAAUAAUUUAAAAAUUUAUUGAUAAAAAUUAAUAAUAUAAUAAAAAAAA
rnacentral:rRNA from 1 species